CUUCCUGGUAGCAGGUUUAAAACGACAUGCUGCAUGCCGGGUAGGGUCGGACAUGGCGUUGAGUAGUGCGGACGAAAUGGAGGAAAUUAAGGAAAACAGUGGAUGAAGCAACAGCUGUGCUGGAAUGAGAACAAUCGCGGUGUCAGUUCUGAUUGUAUGGAGCGGGAGGAUGAGGGUCAAGGACCGAGAAUGGUCGGUAGUGGAAAGACGGAGGAAGAAGAAGAGAUUAUGAUACCGAAAACAUGAAGAGGGCUACGGACAAUGACCCAACACACCUCUAGGCUGUGUAAGGGCUAUUUGACCAAGAAGGAGAGUGAUGGAGUGCUGCAUCAGAUGACCUGGCCUCCACAAUCACCUGACCUCAACCCAAUUGAGAUGGUUUGGAAUGAGAUGGACCACAGAGUGAAGGAAAAGACUGUCGGAACAGCAUUCCAGGUCCUCCUCAGUGUUUGUGGUGGUGAGGGAGGAGAAUGUGGCGAUACCAGAUGAACUCUCAGAAGACGGGAGUCCCGGUGACAGACAAGGCUGUGUCCCGCACCGCAGCCAAGAAUGACGCAGCUGGCUGAGCUGUGCAGGCAGUUUCCUCACCAGAUCUUUCUACUGGGGAAACUGGUGGCCUUCGGAGCCGGUAUGGCUGCUCACAGGGGCUUUUGAACCCAGAUCUGAACACAGCAGAACUGCAUCAGAAAGCCCAAUCCCGAAUCAACACCUUUUUUAAAUUGUUUUAUACUUCAACCUUCAUUUAACUAGACAAGUCAGUUAAGAACAAAUUCUUAUUUACAAUGACGGCCUACCGAAAGGCCUCCUACGGGGACAAGACAUCACGACAAGAGACACCACACCACUACAUACAGGGAGACCUAACAACAUAGCAAGGCAGAAACACAUGACAACACAACAUGGCAGCAACAGGACAACAACAUAGCAAGGCAGAAACGCAUAACACAACAUGCCAGCAACACAACAGCAACUUGGUAGCAACACAACAUGGCAGCAACACAACAGCAACUUGGUAGCAACACAACAUGGCAGCAGCACAUAACAUGGUACAAACAUUGGGCACAGACAACAGUACAAAGGGCUGCGAACUGAAAAGAGGAGAGAUCCAGGGAUGUUUGUGUUUUGGGGACCUUUAAUGUCCAGUGCAGUUUCCUGACAAUUAUAAUGUCUUUAGUGUGAGAAUUAUAACGUCUUUAGUGUGAGAAUUAUAACGUCUUUAGUGUGAGAAUUAUAAUGUCUUUAGUGUGAGAAUUAUAACGUCUUUAGUGUGAGAAUUAUAAUGUCUUUAGUGUGAAAAUUAUAACGUCUUUAGUGUGAAAAUUAUAACGUCUUUAGAGUGAAAAUUAUAACGUCUUUAGAGUGAGAAUUAUAACGUCUUUAGAGUGAGAAUUAUAACGUCUUUAGAGUGAGAAUUAUAAUGUCUUUAGAGUGAGAAUUAUAAUGUCUUUAGUGUGAGAAUUAUAAUGUCUUUAGUGUGAAAAUUAUAACGUCUUUAGAGUGAGAGCUGUUUGCAAAGACCACCUGAAAUGUCUGCCUAUUUUGGUAGGACGGUGACAUCACCAAGCGGUAAAUUAGUUAAUAGACCAAUAAGAAAGUUCCAAACUUCUCUUCCAAUAACAGCGAGUCUUCAGUUCUCCCCUCUCCACUCAGACCACUCCCAGACAGUCCUAGUAAAAUUCUUGCUCUUUGCUACUAAGAAGCUAUUUUUUUUAAAUAAUUUUAAUUCAACCCAAUCACCAUAAGGUACGUAAAUGUUUUCCAGAAAUGAUUUGAUAUUGAGCUGAAAACUGCUUGACCUUUUAAUCUCCGACAGUUGAAACUAUGGUUGUAAAACUGCCUUCAAUAUGUUCCUAAUUCUAGUCUGUUUCCUGAAAUAAAUCAAUAAAGUAUUCCCACUAUCUUUAUUCAUCCAAAUCAAUUCAAUGUAAACAAACCACAACCGUUAAAUUAAAACUCACGUGAAUAGACGGGACAAAUCACAAAACAGUUUUAAUUAAAAUACUCAAACUCAUUUUCCUGGGAGUAUAGUAGAAUUAGUAAGUAUUAAUAUAUUAGGAUUUAUUUGGACAACUCAAUAUACUAUAAAACAACCAAAAACAUACAGGGAUGAGACCUGCAGCUCGUUUUGAGUUGGGGAGAUCAACUCAAUAUACUAGAAAAUAACUGUGAAAUAAACAUUUACCUUCAUUCAUAUAGUUUCUUGUCGGUCCAGCUGGCUAAUAAUCACCAAAAUGAAAACUAGACAGUCGGGGAUCGUCAAAAAGUCCUAAAACAAGGUGAGGCAAUAUAACACCUCGAAGACUGAAUGGUCUCCGGGAUAAACAUGAGUUUGACAUCCCUGGUGUCCACAGUACAAUAAAUAUGCUUAGUAUAAUGAAGUCCUUUACUAUACCAGGCAGUCAACAUUAUCAUUAUUGCCAGACUUCUAUGAAAAACCCCGCAGAAGACAUAGCUGUCAAAACAUUGGUUGAAUAAAUUGAUUGCAUCA